rnacentral:rRNA from 1 species
UACGUAGGGUCCGAGCGUUGUCCGGAAUUAUUGGGCGUAAAGGGCUCGUAGGCGGUUUGUCGCGUCGGGAGUGAAAACUCAGGGCUCAACCCUGAGCGUGCUCCCGAUACGGGCAGACUAGAGGUAUGCAGGGGAGAACGGAAUUCCUGGUGUAGCGGUGGAAUGCGCAGAUAUCAGGAGGAACACCGGUGGCGAAGGCGGUUCUCUGGGCAUUACCUGACGCUGAGGAGCGAAAGCAUGGGGAGCGAACAGG